CUACGGGUGGCACCAGUUGCGAAAACUUUACAAUGCGCGCAAGCGUGAUAAGGGGAUUCUGAGUGCUCAAGCUAUUUUGGUUUGGGCUUUUCAUUAGGGUAAAUACCUAUUGGAAUAAGUGGUGGGCAAGACCGGUGCCAGCCGCCGCGGUAACACCGGCGCCGCAAGUGGGAACCAUUUUUAUUGGGUCUAAAGCAUCCGUAGCCUGUACUGUAAAUACUUUGUGAAAUAGUUAAGCUUAACUUAACUGCGUGCAAAGUAGACUGCACUACUUGAGACUGGGAGAGGUUAACGGUAUUCCUUGGGGAGCGGUAAAAUGUUGUAAUCCAAGGAGGACCACCGAUGGCGAAGGCAGUUAACCAGAACAGAUCUGACGGUGAGGGAUGAAAGCUAGGGUAGCGAUCGGGAUUAGAUACCCGGGUAGUC
rnacentral:rRNA from 1 species